rnacentral:rRNA from 1 species
AUGGUCGCCGUCUUCAACAAGGACGUCCUGAGCUGGUACCUCAUCACGCUCAAGCUCAAGGAGACCGUCGACGCCAACCUCAAGAAGUCCCCGUCGCCGUCGCCGCACUGGCAGGCGCUUCCCCGCAGCCUGCUCGUCGCCUGGAUGCCGGCCAACGACUUCGCCCAGUGCCUGGUGCUGGACGGGACCUUCGUGCUGGAGCUGUUCCGCGGCGCGCUGGACGGCGCCAAGGGGUUCGUGGACGACCUGGGCUACUCGCGGCACGACCCCAUCUUCGCGAUGCGCGGCGCCAUGCACGCCAUCCGCAGCGACAUGAUCCUGCUCGAGAACCAGAUACCGCUGUUCGUGCUGGACCUGCUGCUCGGGAUCCAGCUCGGCCACCCGGAGCAGACGGGGGCCGUGGCCAGCCUCGCCGUGCGGUUCUUCGACCCGCUGAUGCCGACGGACACGCCGCUGCACCGGAAGGACCGGUUCAAGCUUGAAUCCUCCGUGGACGCCGACGCGGCGGCCGCGGCGGCGUUCGACCCGCUGUCGAACCCGAUGCUGCACUGCCUGGACGUGUUCCGGCGCAGCCUCCUCCGCGCCGGGAUGCAGCCCACCCCUCCGCCGGCGGCGCGGCUGUGGCUGAAGAAGUGGUCCGGGCUGCGGCGCGUGGCCGACAAGCGGCGGCAGCAGUUCGUGCACUGCGUGUCGGAGCUACGGGAGGCGGGCAUCCGGUGCCGGCGGCGGCGCAACACGGACCGGUUCUGGGACAUCCGGUUCGAGAAGGGGGUGCUCCACAUCCCGCGGAUCCUCAUCCACGACGGCACCAAGGCGCUGUUCCUGAACCUGAUCGCGUUCGAGCAGUGCCACAUGGACAUCGCGACGCCGGGCGGGAACAACAUCACCUCGUACGCCAUCUUCAUGGACAACCUGAUAAACUCGGCGGAGGACGUCAAGUACCUGCACGACCGGGGCAUCAUCGAGCACUGGCUGGGCAGCGACGGCGAGGUGGCGGAGCUGUUCAACCGGCUGUGCCUGGAGGUGGUGUUCGACAUCAACGACAGCUACCUCUCCGGGCUGUCGGACCAGGUGAACCGGUACUACGACCACAAGUGGAGCACGUGGGUGGCCAGCCUGCAGCACAACUACUUCACCAACCCGUGGGCGAUCGUCUCCGUCGUCGCCGGCGUCUUCCUGCUGCUGCUCACCAUGAUGCAGACCUUCUACAGCGCAUACAGCUACUAUCGCCCGCCGGCCUAG